rnacentral:rRNA from 1 species
GAGUAACACGUGGAUAACCUACCUAUAAGACUGGGAUAACUUCGGGAAACCGGAGCUAAUACCGGAUAAUAUUUUGAACCGCAUGGUUCAAAAGUGAAAGACGGUCUUGCUGUCACUUAUAGAUGGAUCCGCGCUGCAUUAGCUAGUUGGUAAGGUAACGGCUUACCAAGGCAACGAUGCAUAGCCGACCUGAGAGGGUGAUCGGCCACACUGGAACUGAGACACGGUCCAGACUCCUACUGGAGGCAGCAGUAGGGAAUCUUCCGCAAUGGGCGAAAGCCUGACGGAGCAACGCCGCGUGAGUGAUGAAGGUCUUCGGAUCGUAAAACUCUGUUAUUAGGGAAGAACAUAUGUGUAAGUAACUGUGCACAUCUUGACGGUACCUAAUCAGAAAGCCACGGCUAACUACGUGCCAGCAGCCGCGGUAAUACGUAGGUGGCAAGCGUUAUCCGGAAUUAUUGGGCGUAAAGCGCGCGUAGGCGGUUUUUUAAGUCUGAUGUGAAAGCCCACGGCUCAACCGUGGAGGGUCAUUGGAAACUGGAAAACUUGAGUGCAGAAGAGGAAAGUGGAAUUCCAUGUGUAGCGGUGAAAUGCGCAGAGAUAUGGAGGAACACCAGUGGCGAAGGCGACUUUCUGGUCUGUAACUGACGCUGAUGUGCGAAAGCGUGGGGAUCAAACAGGAUUAGAUACCCUGGUAGUCCACGCCGUAAACGAUGAGUGCUAAGUGUUAGGGGGUUUCCGCCCCUUAGUGCUGCAGCUAACGCAUUAAGCACUCCGCCUGGGGAGUACGACCGCAAGGUUGAAACUCAAAGGAAUUGACGGGGACCCGCACAAGCGGUGGAGCAUGUGGUUUAAUUCGAAGCAACGCGAAGAACCUUACCAAAUCUUGACAUCCUUUGACAACUCUAGAGAUAGAGCCUUCCCCUUCGGGGGACAAAGUGACAGGUGGUGCAUGGUUGUCGUCAGCUCGUGUCGUGAGAUGUUGGGUUAAGUCCCGCAACGAGCGCAACCCUUAAGCUUAGUUGCCAUCAUUAAGUUGGGCACUCUAAGUUGACUGCCGGUGACAAACCGGAGGAAGGUGGGGAUGACGUCAAAUCAUCAUGCCCCUUAUGAUUUGGGCUACACACGUGCUACAAUGGACAAUACAAAGGGCAGCGAAACCGCGAGGUCAAGCAAAUCCCAUAAAGUUGUUCUCAGUUCGGAUUGUAGUCUGCAACUCGACUACAUGAAGCUGGAAUCGCUAGUAAUCGUAGAUCAGCAUGCUACGGUGAAUACGUUCCCGGGUCUUGUACACACCGCCCGUCACACCACGAGAGUUUGUAACACCCGAAGCCGGUGGAGUAACCUUUUAGGAGCUAGCCGUCGAAGGUGGGACAAAUGAUUGGGGUGAAGUCGUAACAAGGUAGCCGUAUCGGAAGGUGCGGCUGGAUCACCU